rnacentral:miRNA from 1 species
GCAGUUGGUGGGAGGUGGGGGGGGCACCCCAGGUGUUCUUACCUUGUCCUCCAUUCC